rnacentral:rRNA from 1 species
UCCGGUUGAUCCUGCCAGAGGCCGCUGCUAUCCGGCUGGGACUAAGCCAUGCUAGUCUAGGGGCUUGUACCCCUUCGGGGGUGCAAGCACCGGCGGACGGCUCACUAACACGUGGACAACCUGCCCUCGGGUGGGGGAUAACCCCGGGAAACUGGGGCUAAUCCCCCAUAGGUGAUGGGUGCUGGAAUGCCCC